rnacentral:lncRNA from 1 species
UUGCCACUCUUAUCACCAACCAGGUGAAGAAGGAACUCAUCUUCAUGCCACCAACCAGGCGAUGAAAUGUACAACCCGUACUCUCCUUCAUGCCAUCAACCAGGUAAUGAAAUGUGAAGAAGGAACUCAUCUUCGUGCCACCAACCAGGUGAUGAAAUGUGAUGAAAGGUGAUGAAGGAACUGACAUUCGUACCACCAACCAAGUGAUGAAAGCAACCCACCAUUUAUUCCACCAACCAGAAGACGAGUGAUGCAACUUGUACAUGUGAACUCUUAGCAUUCACAAAUAAUCAAAAAUCCUCAAGCUUUACAACUUAACUGGGGGAGCACUUAUGCCUAACAAAAGUUAUAGUCACCAACAAAGUCUUAUUACAAGCCAACAACGGCUU